AAGGCUUUAUCUUAAUUAAAGUAUCUGAGUUGCAUUCAGAAGAUGUGGGUUGAUGUCCCGCAGGUCUUA
rnacentral:tRNA from 1 species